UACGGAGGGGGCUAGCGUUGUUCGGAAUUACUGGGCGUAAAGCGCGCGUAGGCGGAUGGUCAAGUCGGGGGUGAAAUCCCGGGGCUCAACCCCGGAACUGCCUCCGAUACUGGACGUCUGGAGGACGGAAGAGGCGAGUGGAAUGCCGAGUGUAGAGGUGAAAUUCGUAGAUAUUCGGCGGAACACCAGUGGCGAAGGCGGCUCGCUGGUCCGUUUCUGACGCUGAGGCGCGAAAGCGUGGGGAGCAAACAGGAUUAGAAACCCCUGUAGUCC
rnacentral:rRNA from 1 species